UAGAGGGGCUGAGUCAGAGCCCAACAGAGGCUUUUUAUUAAAUGGAAUUUACCCUGAUAAAUCAUUCCAUAUGAGAUGUCCAGAUAAGCAAGCUUGCCUCACACAAGUAUCUUUGAUUCCAGAACCCAGAAAACAACUGCUUGAGAUGCACUUACUAUGCACCCAGGGUGACCAGAAGCAGAUUUACCAUAAAGCUAACGAACUGAACCCCAGGCUGCUCGCUUCACAGCCAGAAGUGGAGGCCCAGGCAGGAGCCCCAGCAACACAUUCACAGCCAUUUGCUUUUGUAAACUUGGCGGUGGCACUUACACUGAUAACUGGCCAAGAUCAAAGUACUCGCCUUCCAAGAAUAGACCAUCCAAGAUCAUGCUUCCCAAAAUGCAGAAUAAAAAGGAUGUUAGAGAGGGCAGAGGCAAGGUGAGAAGAGAAACAACUCAUCUCCCAAACUGGCUAAAUUUCCUGAAGUAGGUGGGUUCAGUGAUACAGUGAACCCGGAACAUUGGAAAUUCUUCGUGUGUUUGCUGUUGCUUAAAAGAGUUAAAUAAAAUAAAAAUAUAAGGUUCUAGACUA